rnacentral:rRNA from 1 species
UACGUAGGGUGCGAGCGUUAUUCGGAAUUACUGGGCGUAAAGUGUGCGCAGGCGGCCGAGCAAGUCGAGUGUGAAAGCCCCGAGCUUAACUUGGGAACUGCGCUUGAAACUACUUGGCUAGAGUGUGGCAGAGGGAGGUGGAAUUCCACGUGUAGCGGUGAAAUGCGUAGAGAUGUGGAGGAACACCGAUGGCGAAGGCAGCCUCCUGGGCCAAAACUGACGCUCAUGCACGAAAGCGUGGGGAGCAAACAGG